AUCCACCUUCCUGGUGACAGUGAUGGAAGGACCCAUGUUCCCAUCCCUGACUGAUAAUAUUUCACCACCUCUUUUGUACCCAUUUUCAUUUUGAUUCCAGGGUAAUUUGUAUCAGUUUAUGAAAUGUGGCCUUUCUUCCAUCGCAUAAGAACACAAACCCAACUGUGACGUUGAGGUGUUAUUGACUUAAGGCGUAUAUAUGCGUGUGGUUUUAUUUGAUCAUCUUCAUUAUUCUAAUUUUUCCCUUCACGUCUUCUUUUUCCUCUUUAUUACAUUGCUGGCUGUUGGAGGCCCUAGGAGUAGAAAUAACAUUUCUAGAUAAUAUUUCUUCAUAAAAAACAUCAUUUAUUAUUGUUUCUCUCUAACAGUAAAUGCCAAGCUCCUUCUCUCAUUUGUUAUAAGCCUAGUUUAGCAUCUUUUCUGGCAAGGCUUAGAUAGAUCCCUGAACACAACAGCCCUUGUGUCCCCAUCCUGGCUGUGCCCAGGUGUAGGUGUCCUGACAGAGGUCAGGUCUCAGCCGCUGACAGCCUGUCACAUGUGAAGGCAUGGCCAGUCCUUGCUGCCACAGCAGGAGCCAAAGAGUGGAAGAGAUUUCUUCAGGCUCCUGUAUUUACCCUAUAAGAGGGUGUCAAUCAGGCAACAAUUUAGCUGUGAGUGAAAUCGCUUUGUGUCUCCACUGAUAUUCCCAACACGGAGCUGCAGGCUUUCUCCUCUCCGUGAUGCUUCUUGAGGUCUGUGUGUCCGUGCCGUGUAUGUCUGCUUAAAACGUGGCUGUAGGAAGGAGAAUUGGGCACAACAUCUGCACUUGGCUCUAAGGGAAGGAAACGAUUCUCCGAAGGUAUAUAUCAGGGUUUCUCCCUGCUUGAGGCUGGAGCCUUCCCUCCUGAUUAGAUUCAGCCAAGAGGGUUUGGUUAUUGCUGUCUCUGAGUCCUGAUGGAGCGUGAUAGAGGUGCCCAGCUGCACAGAGCUGCCUGUGUGUCCUGUCCCCUGGGUGAGGACAGACCCUGGGGUGGUAGCUUGUCUCCUUUCACCAGACCCUGCUCAGCUCUUGGCAUGAGCUCUCUUUGCAAGCACAUCCCCAUUCCCAUGGGAAAACAGCUCCAUGUUCUCACUCUCCCACCCAGGAUUAAUCCUGUGCCAUGGCCAAGGGUCACUUUACAAAAGGACAUGUUGGUUGCAACAACCCCACUAUGGCCAAAUCAUGCUUGCUGAAUGGUGCCCCUGCAAAUGUGUCACCUCUGGGGGGCUGGUUGCUGUCUGGCUCACCCUUCCUCCUGCCCCAACUCCACACUUCCCUCUACCCUCCCUUCCCAGUGGGAUUUUGUUGCAAGCCAUCAGGAUGCAAACCUAAAUCAUCACCGCUCUUUGGUCU